UACGGAAGGCAGCAGUGGGGAAUAUUGGACAAUGGGCGAAAGCCUGAUCCAGCCAUGCCGCAUGAGUGAAGAAGGCCUUCGGGUUGUAAAGCUCUUUUAGUGAGAAAGAUAAUGACGGUACUCACAGAAGAAGUCCUGGCUAACUCCGUGCCAGCAGCCGCGGUAAUACGGAGAGGGCUAGCGUUAUUCGGAAUUAUUGGGCGUAAAGAGCGCGUAGGCCGAUUAGUAAGUUAAAAGUGAAAUCCCAAAGCUUAACUUUGGAAUUGCUUUUUAAAACUGCUAGUCUAGAGAUUUGAAAGAGGAUAGAGGAAUUCCUAGUGUAGAGGUGAAAUUCGUAAAUAUUAGGAGGAACACCAGUGGCGAAGGCGUCUAUCUGGUUCAAAUCUGACGCUGAGGCGCGAAGGGCGUGGGGAGCAAACAGGGAUUAGAUACC
rnacentral:rRNA from 1 species